GAUGAAGAACGCAGCGAAAUGCGAUAAGUAAUGUGAAUUGCAGAAUUCAGUGAAUCAUCGAAUCUUUGAACGCACAUUGCGCCCGCCAGUAUUCUGGCGGGCAUGCCUGUCCGAGCGUCAUUUCAACCCUCGAACCCCUCCGGGGGGUCGGCGUUGGGGAUCGGGAACCCCUAAGACGGAUCCCGGCCCCGAAAUACAGUGGCGGUCUCGCCGCAGCCUCUCCUGCGCAGUAGUUUGCACAACUCGCACCGGGAGCGCGGCGCGUCCACGUCCGUAAAACACCCAACUUCUGAAAUGUUGACCUCGGAUCAGGUAGGAAUACCCGCUGAACUUAAGCAUAUCAAUAAGCGGAGGA
rnacentral:misc_RNA from 1 species